rnacentral:rRNA from 1 species
CAGCCGUAAACUAUGCGCGUUAGGUGUAUCGGUGACCACGAGUCACCGAGGUGCCGAAGGGAAACCGUGAAACGUGCCGCCUGGGAAGUACGGUCGCAAGGCUGAAACUUAAAGGAAUUGGCGGGGGAGCACCACAACGGAUGGAGCCUGCGGUUUAAUUGGAUUCAACACCGUAAAACUACACCAGGGAAGACUGUUACAUGAAGGCCGAGAUGAAGACUCUGCUAGAUUUUCAGAGAGGAGGUGCAUGGCGUAGACGUCU